rnacentral:lncRNA from 1 species
UGCGGUGCUUGGGACCUGGUGGUGGGUUCUGGAGAGCUGGGGCAGGUCAAGCAUCCCUCGAGGGCAGGAGUCGGGGGAUCUUUGAAAGCAACUUGUUAAAAGCAGCUUUUGCAGAAGGUGUUUUUCUUCCUGAGGAAUUGAUCUCCCAGUUCUGGAAGCCUCAAAACUGUUUACGGAUAUUCAGGUACAAAACUAGAGCCGUUCACUUGGCUUCGUGUGUAUUGCCAAACGUUCUGCUUCUUCCUGGAGCGACAGAACAAAGUCUGAGUGUGCUGGGUUUGGGCUUCUUGGGUUUGCUUCUUCCCUGCCUUUGCCUCCUCGCAGGAGCUGGGGCUGCAGCCUCUGGCACCUCUGGCCUGGUGCGAGGGCCCCGGUGGAGCGGGAUGAAUCGCUCCUCUUUCUCUCCGUGAUAUUUUGCACAUGUUUUGCCUGGGGCUCGAGGCUGGCGCGAGGUCAGAGGUUGCAUUUGAAGGCAAAGCCCCGCAGAGUUGAGUUGGGAAGCGCUUCCAAAGGUGUCUCCGAGCCCACCCAGCACCCGCCUCCCGGGAGCCACGAGCACGAGCUGGGGGGGAUGAAGUAAAACACUCGGAAGUGCUUAAACCCUUCCAAAAACUGGGAUUUUGGGGGCAGCUCCCCCUGCUUCUGCCCAUCCUGCCCUGCGCCCCUGGCUCCUCCAGGCCUCCCGGGCUGGGCUCGUGCUUCAACUGGUUUAAUUUAUUGUCCAGUGCGAUGUGGGAGGAAGCGGCGCGUGUUGGAGCAGCUUCCUCAGCCGCUGAACCUGCUGCUCCCCUCCGCUGUACAGACCCCUCCUUGAGUGGAAGGAAGGAAUGAAACCAUGUCCUACUUUUGUACUUUUGUCUCCAGAGAGGGAGGGAUAUUUUAUACACUUUUCUCUACCUGUAACAGUAGUUUUGUACAAAACCUCUCCCUUUCCCCCCCCCAUUGCUCCUGCCAGGUUGUGUUCUUUGUAGGCUGGAUUCUCCCCUUCCCUCUCCCUUCUGUGUGUUUUAUACCAAGUUCUUUUUCUAUCUUUGACUGCAAGUAAAGAUCUGAAGCAAAAAA